rnacentral:pre_miRNA from 1 species
CUGUAGGACCACCUGUCUUUAAGUAGGGAUAGGUUACUCUAGAAUUAAUACUAGGCUGUUGUCUCUUUAUGACAGGUGUCUUAU